UGAAGGUCAUAUCCCAUGGGCAAG
rnacentral:miRNA from 1 species